rnacentral:misc_RNA from 1 species
AAGCCAGACAGUUGGAUUUCUUGACGCUUUUGUACUAGCAUGAAGCUCGUUAGCAAACUCACGAGCCUGUAAACAAAUGUGAAAACUUUCGAAACAUUGCCAGUAAGAAACUCCUAAAAAUAUGCCCUUUUUUAGAAUUUAAAGAACCAGAUUUCAGUUCAUUGCACAAAAAAAAAAAAAACUUCACAAUAUGCUUUUCUCAAAGGCCCCAAGCAAUUCUCAUCAAGACUCUGACAGUAGAAGGCAAAAAAAGAGAAAAGUUCAGAAAGGGAAAAAUGAGAUGUACACUUCUAAAAUUUUAUUUAUAGCAAAAGGACAGUAAAUCAACCUUUAAAUGUUGCAGUAGGCGAGCAUAUGUUCUGCAUUUGUA